UAUCAUGAGAAAUAUAACAGCGGUCU
rnacentral:piRNA from 1 species